CUCAGGUGGGUAUGAUGGAAGCAAGACUUCUUCAGGGCACAAAUACUGAUGCUUAAAGAGAAUAAAGAAGACAUAGAGCAGGAGUUUAAAGGCAAACGACUCCGGGUAGCACCUCUUAAAUUAACAUGAUCAUCGCCACCUCAUACUACUGUACUUGUUACUUCCUAAAAGAGAGAGCAAAGCUAAGACCAGUGUGAAGUUGGCCCCGACCCAACGCAAAACAAGACCAGCCUUCUUGAAAUGACCAAGCAGAUGGAUGCGUACCUGGGGUGCCCAGGAGACACAGUAGAGGCACUGAAGUCCUUCCCAGCUGUGUGCCAGCUAUCACUUAAGCUUAAUACGGCUCUGCCAGCCUCAGCAGACUGUGAAAGACUGUUAAGUGUUACAAGGCUGAUCUUCAGGCCAAGAAGAGCAUGCAUUGGUUCAAAGAACUUUGAGAACCAGCUGCUUUUGUGGAUGAACAAAGCCUAUUAGUAACGCUUUGGAUGUUGAUUACUGUUGUUUAAGUCCAAUGUGUUUGUUUCAAUAAAAGUUAUUGAUGACAUGCCUAUGAAGUUUGACUUUUUGCAUCAUUGCAAUACUUAUAGCCAACUAGUCAUAUCUUCCGCUCCAUGAAACACAGCUCAGUAGUACACAUACAUAGUUUUUUAAUGUAUUUGCAUUGUACUAAAAUGCGUUCUUUUUCAGUGGGCAUAUACAGUAUGUGGCUGAAACAGGUAACCUAGUGCAUCCCAAAUUUUUCAACAUUAUCAUAUUAAUAUAACAUUAUAGUCAUUAUGGUCUUUAGAAAUAUGUUUUUUGAGGAGGUGGGGUAGUGCACAAUAGGCCCCUGUGGCACAGCCUAAGCGUUUGUCCUUAAUGCCAUUUUAUCCUUGCAUUACUUUUCCUUUUAUACUUAAAUACUUAACUUUUACUUUUAUACUUAAAGUAGUUUUGAAACCGGUACUUUUACUUGAGUAAAAAGCUUGAGGUGAUACUUCAACUUCUACAGAAGUAUUUUAAACCCUAUUAUCUAUACUUCUAACUGAGUAAUGAAUGUAAAUACUUUUGACACCACUGCCCAAAAUAGUCUCAUUCGUUUGUGCUCCGUUUGUGCUGCUAAAAGUUUCGUUUGUGCUGCUUCGGUUUAUUAAAUAGUAAACAUUUUAUUAGGUGGUCAUUCUAAGGUCACUCGGCCCCCCACCUGCCAAAUUCAACAAAAACGGGAUGAUGACGUCAUUAAACAUUUUAUUAUAGCCGAUGACGUCAUUUGUGUCAGCACAAAACAGCACAAACAAAGCACAAACGAAUGAAGCCAUUUUGUUGAAUUUGGAGGUGGGGGGGCUGAUGACGUCAUCGGCCAAUA